rnacentral:rRNA from 1 species
AUUGAACGCUGGCGGCAGGCUUAACACAUGCAAGUCGAGCGGGGGAGGUUGCUUCGGUAACUGACCUAGCGGCGGACGGGUGAGUAAUACUUAGGAAUCUGCCUAUUAAUGGGGGACAACAUCUCGAAAGGGAUGCCAAUACCGCAUACGCCCUACGGGGGAAAGCAGGGGAUCACUUGUGACCUUGCGUUAAUGGAUGAGCCUAAGUCGGAUUAGCUAGUUGGUGGGGUAAAGGCCUACCAAGGCGACGAUCUGUAGCGGGUCUGAGAGGAUGAUCCGCCACACUGGGACUGAGACACGGCCCAGACUACUACGGGAGGCAGCAGUGGUGAAUAUUGGACAAUGGGGGGAACACUGAUCCAGCCAUGCCGCGUGUGUGAAGAAGGCCUUAUGGUUGUAAAGCACUUUAAGCGAGGAGGAGGCUCUUUUGGUUAAUACCCAAGAUGAGUGGACGUUACUCGCAGAAUAAGCACCGGCUAACUCUGUGCCAGCCGCCGCCGUAACAC